AACGAACGCUGGCGGCAUGCCUAACACAUGCAAGUCGAACGAGACCUUCGGGUCUAGUGGCGCACGGGUGCGUAACGCGUGGGAACCUGCCCUUAGGUUCGGAAUAACUCCCCGAAAGGGGUGCUAAUACCGGAUAAUGUCUUCGGACCAAAGAUUUAUCGCCUUUGGAUGGGCCCGCGUUGGAUUAGCUAGUUGGUAGGGUAAGAGCCUACCAAGGCGAAGGUGCAUAGCUGGUCUGAGAGGAUGAUCGGCCACACUGGGACUGAGACACGGCCCAGACCCCAACCCCAGGCAGGGGUGGGGAGUGGGAAAAAGUGGACGGGGGCGAAAUGCUGAACCGCCCAGGGCGGGAUGACGGGGAAGGGGUUGGGAUUAAAAGUCUCUUUUACCGGGGAGUAAAUGACGGUAACGGGUAAAAAAGCCCCGGCUAACUACGUG
rnacentral:rRNA from 1 species